CGGAGACCUUGGGACGGAGUGUUUCUCUUCGGGCGGGGCGGGGGCUCAGGGGCAGGGCUCCAGGCCGGCUCACUCGGUGUUUGUUCUCGUGCUGACCCACCUGGUGCUCGCCCUCGUGCCGGCCCACCCGGUGCUCAUUCUCGGGCUGGCCCACCUGGUGCUCAUUCUCGGGCCGGCCCCACCCGGUGCUUGUUCUCGGGCCGGCCCCACCCGGUGCUUGUUCUCGGGCCGGGCGGGGAAAGGCCACCGGGGGUGGGGAUCGGGGAAGCCGCCGACAGGAGGAAGAGGAGACAAACUUGAGAAAGAAAGGGCUAAGGGACAGGGGUCUUUCACCAUCUCGGCUUUUCCCGGCACUUCCUCCUGCCUGCAGCAGCCUGAGAUGCCGGAACUCCGUACACUUCAACUUGCUACUUUUCAAACUAAGGACCUCUGGAGCUCACUCGUCUGCCUGUUUGCUGCAAUCUGAUGUGUCACUCUAUCACAAGACAGAGCUCUGUGAAGGAUUCUCUGUAGAGAACUUCUCAGCACAAGGAUUUCAUUCUCCUGAGAACACGCUCAAGUGUCCAUAUGGUUCUUAAGAAGACACUGACCUCUUUGAAACCAGAACUGAACGGUCCAGUGAACUGGGGGUGACUUGUGCUUGCACAAAUUCUUUUCAACUCUGGUUCUCAGAAAGGCUAAAUGGAAAGAGUCGUUGGAAGAUUCAAAAUAGCAUCUGUCACAUUCCAAUCUUGUGAGAUAAUGCAUGGUCUUGCACAGGCAUUAGAGAGGAAGACAGAUAAUCUGGGGCUCUGUUUACUGUGAUUUAUUAGCUUCUAAAGACGCAAAGGCUAUAAAAAUAAUUCACAUCUAAGAAUUUACUGAUGUAUGUUUCUACCCUGUUGGACUCUGUUAAAUUGAAAGUAACAGUUAAAUCCUAGGAUAUGGGCACUGAUCCUUCUACGGCAAACCUAACACACAUCACACCCUACCUCCAGGUGGGGGAGUUCUGAUGAUACCUCAACCCAAAAAAUUCAUGCAACUCAAAGGUAUGAAAGCCAGAAUUUUCCUAUGACUCUCAAAAUGAACCAGCAAUAUGGAAAUCCAUAAAUGUCAUCUCACAGUUAUCCUCCCAAAUCAGUUCUUGUAUGUUUGUUCUUAUAGCUAGGUCCUUAGCUGCUACUCCUGUGGCCCUGCGCAGGAGGAAUGUGCUGCAGGCAACUUGGAUGACUUUGGCCAAGGAAGAAAGUGUCAUCUUUGGAACAAUGGUUGUUCUGAUUCAGUUGAGCAGGAUUGAAUCCUGAGAUGGAAUAGAGUUGGAAAGAGCUCCGCUGAGAACUUCAAAUGUCUGUACAAACAGUGAGGAGAGAGGCUUGGCACAAGAGCCAUGUCAAGCUGACCCUGAAUAGUGGCAGGCAACUCAUCACAUGAAAGAGGGGCCAUAGGAAUCAUGCAUGAGGAAAUCAGAGGGCCAUGCUGAGCUGCCCCCCACCCGCCUUCCCUGGCCCUGGCAAAUCUGGACACUGCCUCUUGCCAGACACGGGAGAGCUGACCCCACCACACACAGACUCAGGAGAGAUGGCCCCACCCCUCACCUGUGGGGUGAAAUGACCUGGUUGGCUUGGGCAUAAGAAAGCUGGCUCCGCCCCUCGCCUGAGGGGGAGGGGGCAAGAGGCCCAGACUGACCCGCUCAGCUACCACCCAGGCCCACUGCUGGGCCUUGGGUUGGCCCAGCCUAAUCUACUCCACAUAGAAUCUGUUGGAGCUCAUGAAGGGACUGAUCCUGUGGAACGAUACCUACAAGACUCGGGUGGCCAAGGGAAACCCCAGAGCGUUUUGUGAAGAUCCAGUGAUAAUAGUGUGUCUGAAACCAGAGGACUUAAACCAGACCAAUGACUCAUUGCAAUGAACGUUUGCUAGUAAAGUUGAUUCGACAAAAGGGUAUAUACUAUGUGACACACUCUUCCCAAUGCCACCAGGAUGAAUGAAGAGGUGUUGGAGAGGCAGGAAAGACAGGAAAGAUGGAGAAGUGAAAAGGGUUUUUUGUUUUGUUUUGUUUUAUUCUUGUUUUUGUUUGCAUGCUUGCUCUGUUUUAUUUUGAGUUUUAAAUUUUUUCUUUUGGGGGGCACUGCAAAGGAGAGGGAAGGAUAUGGGGGGACUUGGAGGUGAUCAGAGCUGGAUUGUAUGAUGUGAAAUUCC
ensembl:lncRNA